AUGCCAUGGUAUGGGCAUUCCCUCUGAAGAUCUUUGUACCUUUCCCAUACAUUAUAGAGAGAUUCAUUAUCUUUUUGCCUGAAGGUGUUAAGUUCAGUUCUAAGUUU